rnacentral:rRNA from 1 species
UACGUAGGUGGCAAGCGUUGUCCGGAUUUACUGGGCGUAAAGAGCGCGCAGGCGGUCGUUCAAGUCGCGUGUGAAAGCCCCCGGCUCAACUGGGGAGGGUCACGCGAUACUGAUCGACUCGAAGGCAGGAGAGGGAAGUGGAAUUCCCGGUGUAGCGGUGAAAUGCGUAGAGAUCGGGAGGAAGGCCGGUGGCGAAGGCGGCGCUCUGGAACAUUUCUGACGCUGAGGCUCGAAAGCGUGGGGAGCAAACAGG